GAUGAACGCUGGCGGCGUGCCUAAUACAUGCAAGUCGAGCGAACAGACGAGGAGCUUGCUCCUCGGACGUUAGCGGCGGACGGGUGAGUAACACGUGGAUAACCUACCUAUAAGACUGGGAUAACUUCGGGAAACCGGAGCUAAUACCGGAUAAUAUAUUGAACCGCAUGGUUCAAUAGUGAAAGACGGUUUUGCUGUCACUUAUAGAUGGAUCCGCGCCGCAUUAGCUAGUUGGUAAGGUAACGGCUUACCAAGGCGACGAUGCGUAGCCGACCUGAGAGGGUGAUCGGCCACACUGGAACUGAGACACGGUCCAGACUCCUACGGGAGGCAGCAGUAGGGAAUCUUCCGCAAUGGGCGAAAGCCUGACGGAGCAACGCCGCGUGAGUGAUGAAGGUCUUCGGAUCGUGAAACUCUGUUAUUAGGGAAGAACAAAUGUGUAAGUAACUAUGCACGUCUUGACGGUACCUAAUCAGAAAGCCACGGCUAACUACGUG
rnacentral:rRNA from 1 species